GGGAGAUAUAGAUUUAUGCGUUAGGCUCGGACAUUGAGGGUUUUUUAUGCGUGUGUGUACGCCGCUAUCUUCGAGUGGCAUGAAAUGCUUGAAUAUGUCUUAAUAGAUACUUCGAGUGAUCCGAGAAGAUGAAUGUCGACACCUAACAUCUUAUAAAGUACCUGGUUGACGGAACGCUUCCAACUACUCAAGUGGGGCGCCGUAAGAUUCGACGAAUGGUGCGUGAUUUCAUUGUUAAAGAUAAAAGACCCCCCAAUAAAAUAUAUGCGCCUGGUCAUCAAGUCAAAGGGGAAGCAGACUAUCCUCAUGGAGUGUCAAAAUAACUCUGGUACUGGGAACGAGAGCGGCGUCGAGGGCACCCGCAACAAAGCCAUUUCUAGCUUCUAUUGGCCAACAAUGAUUCAGGACAUCAAUGAAAGGCUUCAUAGAUGUUUAAGUGGGAUGGCCUGGUCGAACACAUCAUGCAAGAGUACUCAGCACCUUGCCAAUCUAUAACAAGGCUGAAGGACAACCUGUUCCCCGUGAG